rnacentral:rRNA from 1 species
AACGAACGCUGGCGGCAGGCCUAACACAUGCAAGUCGAGCGAGGUAGCAAUACCUAGCGGCGGACGGGUGAGUAACGCGUGGGAACGUGCCCUUUGCUACGGAAUAGCCCUGGGAAACUGGGAGUAAUACCGUAUGUGCCCUUUGGGGGAAAGAUUUAUCGGCAAAGGAUUGGCCCGCGUUGGAUUAGGUAGUUGGUGGGGUAAUGGCCAACCAAGCCGACGAUCCAUAGCUGGUUUGAGAGGAUGAUCAGCCACACUGAGACUGAGACACGGCCCAGACGUCUACGGGAGGCAGCAGUGGGGAAUCUUAGACAAUCGGCUCAAGCCUCAUCUAGCCAUGCCGCGUGAGCGAUGAAGGCCUUAGGGUUGUAAAGCUCUUUCGUGGGGGAAGAUAAUGACUGUACCCCAAGAAGAAGCCCCGGCUAACUCCGUGCCAGCAGCCGCGGUAA